rnacentral:rRNA from 1 species
AUUGAACGCUGGCGGCAGGCCUAACACAUGCAAGUCGAACGAGUGGCGGACGGGUGCGUAAUUUCUGGGAAACUGCCUGAUGGAGGGGGAUCACUACUGGAAACUGUAGCUAAUACCGCAUACCAUCGGAUUUGCCCAGAUGGGAUUAGCUAGUAGGUGGGGUAAAGGCUCACCUAGGCGACGAUCCCUAGCUGGUCUGAGAGGAUGACCAGCAACACAGAAACUGAAACACGGGCCAGACUCCUACGGGAGGCAGCAGUGGGGAAUAUUGCACAAUGGGCGCAAGCCUGAUGAAGCCAUGCCGCGUGUAUGAAGAAGGCCAUCGGGUUGUAAAGUACUUUCAGCGGGGAGGCGUUACCCGCAGAAGAAGCACCGGCUAACUCCGUGCCAGCAGCCGCGGUAAUUC